rnacentral:rRNA from 1 species
UACGAAGGGUGCAAGCGUUACUCGGAAUUACUGGGCGUAAAGCGUGCGUAGGUGGUUCGUUAAGUCUGAUGUGAAAGCCCUGGGCUCAACCUGGGAAUGGCAUUGGAUACUGGCGACCUAGAGUGCGGUAGAGGGGUGUGGAAUUCCCGGUGUAGCAGUGAAAUGCGUAGAUAUCGGAAGAAACACCAGUGGCGAAAGCGGCUUCCUGGUCCAGCACCGACGUCAGGCACGAAAGCGUGGGGAGCAAACAGG